UACGAAGGGGGGCUAGCGUUGUUCGGAAUUACUGGGCGUAAAGCGCACGUAGGCGGGUCGUUAAGUCAGGGGUGAAAUCCCAGAGCUCAACUCUGGAACUGCCUUUGAUACUGGCGACCUAGAGUUCGGAAGAGGUUAGUGGAAUUCCCAGUGUAGAGGUGAAAUUCGUAGAUAUUGGGAAGAACACCAGUGGCGAAGGCGGCUAACUGGUCCGAUACUGACGCUGAGGUGCGAAAGCGUGGGGAGCAAACAGGG
rnacentral:rRNA from 1 species